UAGAAUACUGCUAAUUCUAGUCCGUUCCUUUCAUCUAAGACGCAAAACAGGAAUCCUUUUCAUUUUUUUCUUCAAUCAUUGAUAUUGAUAAGAACUAAGAAGUCAAGUUUCAUUCAAAUUAAUCACCUUGACUAACUGUUUUUACGUAUAUUAUAAGUAAAAAAGCAGUAGGAACUAGAAUGAACAGUGCAGUCGCAAUAAAUGCAAGAAUAUUUACUUCCAUAAUCUCAUCGUUUCGUUUUUCUUUACUUCGCAAUAACUCGGGAUUUAAUCCCAUAGAGAUANNNNAUAAUAAAUCUUUCGCCUCUAAAUUCAAUGGGAUGAUUUCCAUCUCGAUGAUAUCGAGUCUGAUCAAUAUCAUGAAUAACAAUAUCUGAGCUAUCAAAUCG
rnacentral:misc_RNA from 1 species